rnacentral:rRNA from 1 species
UGGGGAAUAUUGGACAAUGGGGGCAACCCUGAUCCAGCAAUGCCGCGUGUGUGAAGAAGGUCUUCGGAUUGUAAAGCACUUUCGACGGGGACGAUGAUGACGGUACCCGUAGAAGAAGCCCCGGCUAACUUCGUGCCAGCAGCCGCGGUAAUACGAAGGGGGCUAGCGUUGCUCGGAAUGACUGGGCGUAAAGGGCGUGUAGGCGGUUUACACAGUCAGAUGUGAAAUCCCCGGGCUUAACCUGGGAGCUGCAUUUGAUACGUGUAGACUAGAGUGUGAGAGAGGGUUGUGGAAUUCCCAGUGUAGAGGUGAAAUUCGUAGAUAUUGGGAAGAACACCGGUGGCGAAGGCGGCAACCUGGCUCAUGACUGACGCUGAGGCGCGAAAGCGUGGGGAGCAAACAGGAUUAGAUACCCCGGUAGUCCACGCCUGUAAACGAUGUGUGCUAGAUGUUGGGUAACUUUGUUAUUCAGUGUCGCAGUUAACGCGUUAAGCACACCGCCUGGGGAGUACGGCCGCAAGGUUGAAAC